UACAGAGGGUGCUAACGUUGUUCGGAAUCACUGGGCAUAAAGCGCACGUAGGCGGCUUGGUAAGUGCGGUGUGAAAGCCCCCGGCCUAACCGGGGAACUGCAUCGCAGACUGCCAGGCUCGAGAGCGGGAGGGGAGACUGGAACUCCUGGUGGAGCGGUGAAAUGCGUAGAUAUCAGGAGGAACACCGGUGGUGAAAACGAGUCUCUGGUCCGCUUCUGACGCUCAGGUGCGAAAGCUAGGGGAGCAAACGGGAUUAGAUACCCCGGUAGUCCUAGCCGUAAACGAUGGGCACUAGCUAGAGGUGACCCUGCGUCGUCUCUGGUGUAGCAAAUGUGUUAAGUGCCCCGCCUGGGGAGUAUGGUCGCAAGGCUGAA
rnacentral:rRNA from 1 species